GCAAUCGCAUAUACUUACUAACCAUCACAUUGGCUACGUUUUUAUUCAUCGUCAAUUAAAAGAACAUUUCACUAUUUGACGUAAUACGGUAACAUUUAUUUCUGUAAAAUAUUGUGUAACGAUUGGUAGAAAAUUAUCGUUCUAGAAAUUAUAAUCGGUUAUGUUUUGGUAUUAUACUCUGAAAAAUCAUACAUAGACAUAUCAUAGAUAUCGCGUUUAAUCAUUAUUAUUAUAUUCCUUCAUUAGAUAAUUAAAAUUUACACAAUUGUACCGAAUUUUAAGGAUAGGGUGUAUUCACAAUAAACUGAAAGAACAAUAAAUUGGAUGUCAUUUUAUAUAAUUGCUUGACCAGAACCAAAUAAUAAAUAUACUAUACAUCCUAAUGCAUCUAUUAUAGCAAUGAAUAUAAAUACAACAGGCCAGCUGUG